rnacentral:lncRNA from 1 species
CCAUCCAGGCUACGUGCCUCCAUCAGAGCUACGUGCUCCUUAGGCCAUGUGCCCAUUAGGCUACGCGCCCACUUAGGCUCCGCGCCUCCACCAAUACAUGAACUACGAACGGCUUGAUCCCCCCUUGAAGGGUACGUAGGCAAUCCCCCCUGAAGGAUACAGCUAUAAAUCCCAAACAUCUUCCUCGGUUCGUCAAGGACAAACCUUGGUAACCGGAACCCUCAACUACAGAUCAGGAGGAACCCAGGGACCGAACCUGGAAUCGGGCCCAUCAAUUGUAGGCCCAGAAGACCCUGCGGCCUUCACCAUAGACAAGCAGUCCCUGUAUAAUGACCAAUCUCCUCCGCUAUUACUAACGCACCGACGACGUAUACUGGCCCAUAUCUAGAUGGCAGUCUCCUAAGAGCAAGACCCCCCUGGUUCAUCAACUAUCAAGGCGGGAGAAUACACUAUGACGAGAUGUCUCCUUCUCCCUAUCAUUCCGUAGAACUGAGCACGGAU